rnacentral:rRNA from 1 species
AUUGAACGCUGGCGGCAGGCCUAACACAUGCAAGUCGAACGAGUGGCGGACGGGUGCGUAAUGUCUGGGAAACUGCCUGAUGGUGGGGGAUAACUUCUGGAAACGGUAGCUAAUACCGCAUACCAUCAGAUGUGCCCAGAUGGGAUUAGCGUGUGGGUGGGGUAACGGCUCACCAAGGCGACGAUCCCUAGCUGGUCUGAGAGGAUGACCAGCAACACUGGAACUGGGACACGGUCCAGACUCCUACGUGAGGAAGCAGUGGGGAAUAUUGCACAAUGGGCGCAAGCCUGUUACAGCCAUGCCGCGUGUAUGAAGAAGGCCUUCGUGUUGUAAAGUACUUUCAGCGGGCAGGCGUUACCCGCAGAAGAAGCACCGGCUGACUCCGUGCCAGCAGCCGCGGUAAUUC